CUUACACAAAAACAAUUGGCCCUUUGACCCGGUCGAAAGGCUCUCAAAUGGAAAUCAGCCAAGAAGCAGCCGAUCAACGAAGCGAAGAAGAAGCCCUCCUCAUUCAGAAACAACGAAGAAGAAGGAGAACGAGAUUAAUUGUGAAAAUUUUAUUUUGGUUUCAACUCACUUGGUAAGUACUUCAUUGUCAAAAAUAUGUAAGAAUAAAUACUUUUUUUUUUUUUCUAAUGGUUUUGGUAUGCCUCAAGUUUCUUAUAGAUUUGAUUCAGGCAUUUUCUUCCGAAAAGAAUACCCUGUUGUGGUUGCAAAGGACACAUAGUUUUUCCAACUGCUGAUUUUGGUAUGUGGCCCCUUUAUCUUAUACUUGCAUAUAGCUUCUUUAUGUACUGCCCGUUUGUUUAGGAGAUGCGAAGUGUUAUUCUUUUUUGCUAAAUGUGAUCUUUGUAAUUUGUAUGAUUGAUGUUGUUGUUGACAAUUGUAGGAAGCUGGAUGUGUUAUUUUUUAUGAUUGAAGGUGCUGUUGUUGUGUUUUUUUGACCUGUUAGGAAUGGUCUCUUGUUUUACUUUCACAAAAUGUUACUCUGGUUCUUUGUAUCAUUUUUUUAUACUUGGGAUAACAUACAAGCUCAUAUAAUGCUAAAUUCAAUUGAAAAUUCAGCAUGGUACAAUGAUGCCAUUAAUGGAACCAUGUCUGGCUGUAAUGCUAAUGCACAUGUUAUAACUAACAAUUGAGUGCUUAGAAGGAUUCUGUGUUUAUUAUCCUUUCUAAAAUGUAUACUAUUGGUCAUGUUGUUAAGAUCAAAGUUGAUUGUGUUUAGGAUUUGACAAGUCUGGAAAAUUAUUCAGUAAUUAGUAUUUAUCAUAAAGUUUGAGACCAAACGGCUUUUAUAUCAUUUAGACAAAGUGAUAUUUAUAUGCUAAUAGAGGAGCCUAUCUAGGCCAUUAAUAUAACAUCUACCAUGUAGUAGUUGGGUUUCGUGGUUAGUGGAACCAAACUAGGCCACUGGGUUUUGUAACAUCUACCUUUGUAGUUGGGUUUUGUGGAGAUGACUCAAGCAACCAAGAAUAAGAUUUGUCUAUUGUCAUUUUGAGGAACAAGGAUUGCUGUUGCUGCCUUUUUUUUUUUUCCUGUUUUUUAUUACCUUUGAAAAAUGGAUUUAUGUUUUCAAAUGUUGAAAAAUGGAAUGAUGUUAAAAACCAAUUUCUUAAUUUAAUUGUGAAUUUCUUUAUGUUUGGAGGAUACCAUUUGUUUCUACCAAGUCCAGCUGGUACAGAGUUGCAAAUUGGAGGCAUCAGUUUGUUCUAGGUAAUAGAAUUAUGGUAAAAAAUCAACAUGGCUCUAGAAAUGUGAGAAGCCCGAUUAUGCCAUUUUUUUGCUUCUUGAAAAAGUGAUCUAAAGUCAAAUCAUCAACCAAAUUUUGUCCCUUUUUAUGAUCUUUCUGCAGGAUGGAGUACAUAUACGACAUCAAUGAUCGAUGUGAUGCGAAGGUCACGGCACAUUCUAAAGUGUCAAGUGUGGAGAAAGUAUAUGAUGCAUUUGAUGAUGUUCAUAAGGAGAUGUUCUUGAAUUCAUGCUUCGGUAAAUUAUACAUUAGAAAUAUGAAAAUAUCUGCCCAACUAAUUUGCAACUUGUUAUUACGACUAAUUGUCUCUGUGAACGAGGAUGAACUAUGAUUUUGUUUAAUAUUGGAAAAAGUUGUCC
rnacentral:lncRNA from 1 species